AAUCAACGCUGGCGGCGUGCCUCAGACAUGCAAGUCGAACGCGAAAUUUCCCUUCGGGGAGAAAGUAGAGUGGCGCACGGGUGAGUAACACGUAGGUAAUUUGCCUUUGGGUGGGGAAUAACUCAGGGAAACUUGAGCUAAUACCGCAUAAUGCAGCGGCUCGACAUCGAGACAGUUGUUAAAGCGGGGGAUUGGAGCAAUCCGACCUCGCGCCUAAAGAGAAGCCUGCGGCAGAUUAGCUAGUUGGUAAGGUAAUGGCUUACCAAGGCGACGAUCUGUAACCGGCCUGAGAGGGCGGUCGGUCACACUGACACUGACAUACGGGUCAGACUCCUACGGGAGGCAGCAAGUCGGG
rnacentral:rRNA from 1 species